UGGCUGGUAGCUCAGUGGUAGAGCACCUGUAUAUAUUCAGGAUGCCUGUCAGUGGGUUCAAUCCCCAGUCUGGCCAA